rnacentral:rRNA from 1 species
ACGAACGCUGGCGGCGUGCUUAACACAUGCAAGUCGAACGGAAAGGCCCUGCUUUUGUGGGGUGCUCAAGUGGCGAACGGGUGAGUAACACGUGAGUAACCUGCCCUUGACUUUGGGAUAACUUCAGGAAACUGGGGCUAAUACCGGAUAGGAGCUCCUGCUGCAUGGUGGGGGUUGGAAAGUUUCGGCGGUUGGGGAUGGACUCGCGGCUUAUCAGCUUGUUGGUGGGGUAGUGGCUUACCAAGGCUUUGACGGGUAGCCGGCCUGAGAGGGUGACCGGCCACAUUGGGACUGAGGUACGGCCCAGACUCCUACGGGAGGCAGCAGUGGGGAAUAUUGCACAAUGGGCGGAAGCCUGAUGCAGCAACGCCGCGUGCGGGAUGACGGCCUUCGGGUUGUAAACCGCUUUCGCCUGUGACGAAGCGUGAGUGACGGUAAUGGGUAAAGAAGCACCGGCUAACUACGUG